CCUUUUUCAUUCUUCCCUCCCUGUCUUACAGUUUUGCUGCAAGAUGACAUCUCUCAAGCUGUAGCGUGUGCCAAGAGGGUCGUCAGGGAUCCACAAGGCAUUAGAGCAUGGGUGGCAUGGAGGAACCGUUGUCAAAACCAAGAUGUCUCCCAGUAUGUGAGGGGUUGUGGCGUGUAACUGCGGAGAUUCUUCCCUCCUUCAUCUUAUUUCCUCUUUUCGCAUUAAGGAAGUCGUAGUUAAGUGAAAUUCAGAUUGCCAACAUUCCUUCUUCAGACAAGUAACAGUUUUACAGAAGCAGGAGAAAAAUAAGGCUCUUCUUCUAAGAGGUUUAAUGUUCAUUUAUGUGUUUAUCAUUUCAUAUUAAUCCUGUAACAUUUUUCAGUUUGCUCAUAGAACUAAUGUAGGUAAAUAUGUAUCUGAAACUUUGGAGGUCAGAUACAUCUCCACACUCAGUUCUUAGUGAAAGAAAAAA